rnacentral:lncRNA from 10 species
CAUGAAAAUGAACACUGUGGAAAAGUAGUUUCAUUCAGUGGUUCUGACAUACUUUGUUCUUGAGACUCCUUUGUUUGGUAUUAGACAAUCUAGUUUGUUUAUUGGUUUGGAAUAUGUUAAUUCUGUUUUAUUCUUGAUUUUUUUCUGUAAAAAUUUUACCAUAUUUACUUGAUUUCAAGGUUGUUGUCAACCUACAAGAUAAUCUUCUCAAGCAAUACAUAAAACCUAAAAAGAGAUAUCUGUGAUCCUCCACCUUACUGAUGUCUAGUAUUUUAGUACACAUUUCUUUUUAUUAUACUCACCAUGGUAGACUUUGUUAAAGGCAGUAUGAGAUUGAGUUUGAGAUUACACGCGAUGGUCACUUUGUUCAUUGCUACUUUGUCUUGAAUUUGACUCCUUUCUUUUACACAAAAGUGCAUCAUUUAUUAGUCUUUUAAUAUUAUUAUUAAGAAUGUUUUGCAACUGUUUUGUGGUUAUUUUAAGGGUUUUUUCCCUAUUUUUGCUUACGCAUGAGCAAUAAUUCAGUUAGACAUAUAGUUCUAAGUCAAAGUCUUCCCUAGAGUCCUUUAAUUUUAAGAGUUAUUGUUAUUUCUAAUAAGAAAUAUGAUGCCUGCCUAAUUUUCUCUUCUUUGUAGGUAACCUGUUGGAGCAAGCCUUGGUCUUUGCAAGCCAAGCAUAUUCAAGGGAUUUUACGAAGGGACUGUGUAUGCUGAUGUGGGUGAGGCUAAGGAAACAGACAAGAAAUAUUGAUGUCUCCAGGGACCCACACACACAUAAAGGGGGAUCCAGCAUUCCUUUAAGGCUGUACCUAAAAGCUGAGGGAGUAAUGUUUCCAGAACCUGGGUGAGAAUCGGAGCAAUAGGAGAAGAUGUCACCAUACAGGGAUGAAGCCCUGGGCAGAACCAUACUGAAGCAGGAAAUGCAGGAAACAAGGAUCUCUGCUGCUCUCCCCUCUAGAUUUGCAAUCCUCUGCCAGUUUCUUGCAUGGACUGAAACCAACUAGAUGCUGCGGAGCAGGAAACCCCAUGGGACAUGGGCUGUAAAAGUCAGCGUCCCAUAUUGUGAAGUGUGCAACAGCAGCAGAGACAGACAGAGAGUUAAUCCAGGGUUAUCGAUUGAAGAUGGCUUCAUGGUGGAGGAAGCACGUGGAAAUGAGUGUGGAUUUGGUUGCGAAAGACAGAAGGGUACUUCACACCCAGAGAAUGACAUGAAUGAGUGUGGCAGACAUGGCAUUGAACAGCUAAUAUGCAAAGAUGGCCCAGAGUUGGAAAGAUGAUGCUCUGUUUACGGAAAGAUUUGUGUGGGAGAUAAGCAGUUUGGAAUUCUUGUGUAGGCAACCAGGAGCCAUGGGGAUGUUUGAAAGAUAAAUGUGACGAUAAAAC